rnacentral:rRNA from 1 species
UGGGGAAUAUUGCGCAAUGGGGGAAACCCUGACGCAGCAACGCCGCGUGGGUGAAGAAGGCCUUCGGGUUGUAAAGCCCUGUCAGGUGGAACGAAUGGGCUGAGGGUAAAUAGCUCUUGGUCAUGACGGUACCAUCAGAGGAAGCACCGGCUAACUCCGUGCCAGCAGCCGCGGUAAUACGGAGGGUGCGAGCGUUGCUCGGAAUUACUGGGCGUAAAGCGUGCGCAGGCGGCGCAGCAAGUCAGGCGUGAAAGUCCAGGGCUCAACCCCGGGAGGUCGCUUGAAACUGCUGUGCUUGAGUACGGGAGAGGGGUGUGGAAUUCCAAGUGUAGGAGUGAAAUCCGUAGAUAUUUGGAGGAACACCAGUGGCGAAGGCGACACCCUGGCCCGAGACUGACGCUCAGGCACGAAAGCGUGGGUAGCAAACAGGAUUAGAUACCCUGGUAGUCCACGCCGUAAACGAUGAGUGCUAGGUGUUGUGGGUUACGGCCUGCAGCGCCGAAGCUAACGCGUUAAGCACUCCGCCUGGGGAGUACGGCCGCAAGGUUA